rnacentral:tRNA from 1 species
AGCCGGAUCGUGCUCCGGCGGUGGACAACGAUCUGAUGGCAAAGCUUCAUCGCAUGC